rnacentral:rRNA from 1 species
CCUACGGGUGGCUGCAGUGGGGAAUAUUGGACAAUGGGGGGAACCCUGAUCCAGCCAUGCCGCGUGUGUGAAGAAGGCCCUCGGGUUGUAAAGCACUUUCAGUGAGGAAGAACGCCUGGUGGUUAAUACCCAUCAGGAAAGACAUCACUCACAGAAGAAGCACCGGCUAACUCCGUGCCAGCAGCCGCGGUAAUACGGAGGGUGCGAGCGUUAAUCGGAAUUACUGGGCGUAAAGCGCGCGUAGGUGGCUUGAUAAGCCGGUUGUGAAAGCCCCGGGCUCAACCUGGGAACGGCAUCCGGAACUGUCAAGCUAGAGUGCAGGAGAGGAAGGUAGAAUUCCCGGUGUAGCGGUGAAAUGCGUAGAGAUCGGGAGGAAUACCAGUGGCGAAGGCGGCCUUCUGGACUGACACUGACACUAAGGUGCGAAAGCGUGGGUAGCAAACAGGAUUAGAUACCCGAGUAGUC